rnacentral:lncRNA from 1 species
AAACAACUCAAACAAAUCUAUUGAUCACCACACUAACAGCAACUUCCGUUCAAACAAAUCUAAGAAUAACCACAUUAACAACUUCCUUUCAACUUCUAAAACAUAACCAAAAUCCCUUAUUCUUACAAAACAACACAUUCAAAUCAAUAAGUUUAUAAACCUUAAUGGUCAAUCAAUCAUUAUGCCUUAAUUGUGACACAACACAAACAUAAACCGGACGGUUUAAUCUUCGAAACUUGCCAUUCGGACCCAGGAGUCGCAAUUGGGUCAUACAAAAGUGUGUUGAAUCCUCCUUGUUCUUCUUCAAGUGAAAAAAGCAAUAGUUUAUCUUCAAUUAUACCAAACCGAAACCCGACGCUCGAGCUUCCAAUAACCGGGACCCCAACCAUCUUCCAUGAGUUAUCUUCAGGGUUGAAAAUGGCGAGUUUUCGUUGGUUUUUCCAUUCCAUACAAAAUAGCUUUUUUCCUACUACGGCGUGAGCGGUCACCAUCACACAUCCGUUUUUCAUCUCGCACCAUGAGUGCUCUUCGGGGUUGUACACUUUCCAAUAGUGAAGCUUGACCGUCCGCCCAUAACAUAGAGUUUACCCUCAAACCCGCAGGCGAAACAACCCCACCGUGGGCGGCGAAGGGACUCGAUAAGUGUCCACUUUUCGGUUUCUGGGUUAUACAUCUCGGCACAUGAGAGAGAAUCCCCAUCCGCCCCAUAACCUCCAACUGCGUAAAUAACACCGUUUACUUCCGCGCAUGCAAAAUCAUACCUCGGC